rnacentral:sRNA from 1 species
GCUGGGCGUUGUGGUGGGCGCCUGUGGUCCCAGCUACUUGGGAGGCAGAGGCAGGAGACUCGCUUGAGCCCAGGAGUUGGAGGUUGCUGUGAGCUGUAAUGCCACAGCACUCUACCCAGGGGGACAGCUUGAGGCUCUGUCUCAAAAAAAAAAAAAAAACUUGGUUUCAGACUUUUUUUUCUAUAACUGUUGCCUUGGGUAGGUGAUGUCAUAGCUCACAGCAACCUCAAACUCCUGUGCUCAAGUGAUCCUCCUGCC